rnacentral:misc_RNA from 1 species
UAAAUGCGAUACUUACCGUGAACUGAAGACAUUUUGAACGGAAAGAUUUUGAAAGCACAUUGCGCCAUUGGAGUCUCAUCCUUUGGCACAUCUGGCUCAGGGUCGCUAUUUAAAACGCAAGCAAGCAGCGUUUACUACCGAAGCGGGUUCAAGCUCUAGCAAGCCGAGCAUGUACCUGCAUUUUGCAAUUGGCAAAAGGGGUUGCCUAAUGAGUAGUUUCAUAGAUAGCUGGACUACUUGCUAGGUGGCGAUUCCUUCGAUUUCUCGACCUGAGCUUAGGUGUGAUUACCUGCUGAACUUAA